UGUACAGAUCCAAUCCAGAGGAGUGGCAGCUGCGCACGCUGGGCCUUGAGGAUAUAAGAAGCUCACCGCAAGAUGCGCUCGGCUACUUCCUUUUCAGAAACCGCACCGCACCGUUCCUACUUCAAGCGGUGACUACAUUCCUGCUGCUAGCGUCCCAGCGAUUGCCAAAUGGAAGUCAGAAGAAUGAAUCGGCGGAAUGCGGCUUUGAGAAUUGCCAGGCAAAGGCAGAACAGGCUCCGGAUGCAGGAGGACGUUAGAGUUGAAUUCAGGCCGGCACCUGGUUUCUCCUUUCUCGAUAUGGCAAGGGCACCUGUGCGACUCUUCCUUGAUGCCCUGAUGGUACCUCUGCGCUUCAUGUCAGACAUUCUGCAGGAAUUUUUCGUGGCCAUGGUGUCAUUCUACAGCCGUUCGUGGGUGAUCCUGCAGGCAGACUUGUAAAAGCCCCGUCACUGAAGAGCCCCUGACCUUUCCUGCGAAAUGCACCUUAAAAAAAAAAGAAACUGCCAAGGACACACAGAGGGUCCCGCCGACCUGCAAAUUUCAAAAAAAGUCAACUGCACCAUUUUUACCAUGCGCCGAUCAUUUUGGUUUUAAACUCUCAGCACAUUGCCUUCACUUCAGCAUUCACCCAUUCUUGUAGACCACAUGAAGCAAUAAAGGUCAUUUCAUGGGAAUUGUA